rnacentral:misc_RNA from 1 species
AAAGUCGUAACAAGGUUUCCGUAGGUGAACCUGCGGAAGGAUCAUUAUUGAAAUAGCAUGACGAGUUGUCGCUGGUCUUUUCUUUGACCGUGCACGCUCUGUCGUUCUUCAUUUCUCCAUCUAUUUGUGCACCUCUUGCGUAGACCUUUUCUUGAGGGCUUUCCUCGGGUCGUUAGGACUGCUUUGCAAAAAAAAUGAAUUUUUGUGGGCUUUCCUUGUCGCUACCACACAUACACCAGUGUAAUUGUUUAGAAGGAAAUGGAAUUUGAUGCAUAAUACAACUUUCAGCAACGGAUCUCUUGGCUCUC